AACUAAGUAGCUCAACUGGUAGAGCACAGAGUUUCGGCUCUGGGGUGCCUGCUCAAAUCGGGCCUUCGUUA
rfam:Phytophthora megakarya strain zdho120 scaffold_5022, whole genome shotgun sequence.